rnacentral:rRNA from 1 species
GACGAACGCUGGCGGCGUGCUCAACACAUGCAAGUCGAACGCUGAAGCCCAGCUUGCUGGGUGGAUGAGUGGCGAACGGGUAAGUAACACGUGAGUAACCUGCCCCCUUCUUUGGGAUAACGCCCGGAAACGGGUGCUAAUACUGGAUAUUCACUGGCCUUCGCAUGGGGGUUGGUGGAAAGGUUUUUUCUGGUGGGGGAUGGGCUCGCGGCCUAUCAGCUUGUUGGUGGGGUGAUGGCCUACCAAGGCUUUGACGGGUAGCCGGCCUGAGAGGGUGACCGGUCACAUUGGGACUGAGAUACGGCCCAGACUCCUACGGGAGGCAGCAGUGGGGAAUAUUGCACAAUGGGCGAAAGCCUGAUGCAGCGACGCCGCGUGAGGGAUGACGGCCUUCGGGUUGUAAACCUCUUUCGCUCAUGGUCAAGCCGCAGCUUUGGGUUGUGGUGAGGGUAGUGGGUAAAGAAGCGCCGGCUAACUACGUGCCAGCAGCCGCGGUAAUACGUAGGGCGCGAGCGUUGUCCGGAAUUAUUGGGCGUAAAGGGCUUGUAGGCGGUUGGUCGCGUCUGCCGUGAAAUCCUCUGGCUUAACUGGGGGCGUGCGGUGGGUACGGGCUGACUUGAGUGCGGUAGGGGAGACUGGAACUCCUGGUGUAGCGGUGGAAUGCGCAGAUAUCAGGAAGAACACCGGUGGCGAAGGCGGGUCUCUGGGCCGUUACUGACGCUGAGGAGCGAAAGCGUGGGGAGCGAACAGG